rnacentral:tRNA from 1 species
GCCUAGCUGGCUCAGUAGGAAGAGCAUGGAAUUCUCAAUCUCAGGGUUGUGCGUUCAAGCCCCACAUUGGGUG